CCUCAGUAACGGCGAGUGAAGCGGUAACAGCUCAAAUUUGAAAUCUGGGUCUUUCAGGCUCCGAGUUGUAAUUUGUAGAAGAUGCUUUGGGUGCGGCCCCGGUCUAAGUUCCUUGGAACAGGACGUCAUAGAGGGUGAGAAUCCCGUAUGUGAUCGGUGGCUUGCGCCCGUGUAAAGCUCUUUCGACGAGUCGGGUUGUUUGGGAAUGCAGCUCUAAAUGGGUGGUAAAUUUCAUCUAAAGCUAAAUAUUGGCCAGAGACCGAUAGCGCACAAGUAGAGUGAUCGAAAGAUGAAAAGGACUUUGGAAAGAGAGUUAAACAGUACGUGAAAUUGUUGAAAGGGAAGCGCUUGCAACCAGACUUGCGCGGGGUUGAUCAUCCGGGGUUCUCCCCGGUGCACUCGGCCUCGCUCAGGCCAGCAUCGGUUUCGGUGGUUGGAUAAAGGCCUUGGGAAUGUGACUUCUUUCGGGGAGUGUUAUAGCCCUCGGUGCAAUGCAGCCUACCGGGACCGAGGACCGCGCUUCGGCUAGGAUGCUGGCGUAAUGGUUGUAAGCGACCCGUCUUGAAACACGGACCAAGGAGUCUAACAUCUAUGCGAGUGUUUGGGUGUCAAACCCAUACGCGUAAUGAAAGUGAACGGAGGUGAGAACCCUUAAGGGUGCAUCAUCGACCGAUCCUGAUGUCUUCGGAUGGAUUUGAGUAAGAGCAUAGCUGUUGGGACCCGAAAGAUGGUGAACUAUGCCUGAAUAGGGUGAAGCCAGAGGAAACUCUGGUGGAGGCUCGCAGCGGUUCUGACGUGCAAAUCGAUCGUCAAAUUUGGGCAUAGGGGCGAAAGACU
rnacentral:rRNA from 2 species